GAGAACUAUGUGAGAAUCAUAGUCCCCAUAAGUCUAAGGUUUCCGACGGAAGGUCAAUCCGCGUCGGGUUAGUCGGGCCUAAGUCGAGGCCGAAGGGCGUAGGCGAUGGACAACGGGUUAAUAUUCCCGUACCACGUUAGGUCGUUAUGAGCGAAGGGGUGACGUAGGAGGAUAGGUUGGCCGGCCGUUGGUCGUGCCGGUGCCAAGCCUGUAGGUGAUGAGACCUGGGUUAAAAGACAGGUUGAGCCGAGGGGUUACGGCGAGCCCGCAAGGGUGGAAGCAACUGAGUCCAUACUAUCGAGAAAAGCCUCUAGCCAGACCUGCGUGACCGUACCGCAAACCGACACAGGUAGACGGGUAGAAAAUACCAAGGGGAACGGGAGAAUCUCUGUUAAGGAAUUAGGCAACAUAGCCCCGUAACUUCGGGAGAAGGGGCGCCCUGGUAGGUUGAAGGCGUUUAACAUGCUGGAGGCUGAGAGGGCCGCAGAGAAAUGGCUCUAGCGACUGUUUACCAAAAACACAGGUCUGUGCGAAGUCGAAAGACGAAGUAUACAGGCUGACACCUGCCCAGUGCCGGAAGGUUAAGGGGAGCGGUGCAAGCUGCGAACUGAAGCCCCGGUGAACGGCGGCCGUAACUAUAACGGUCCUAAGGUAGCGAAAUUCCUUGUCGGGUAAGUUCCGACCCGCACGAAAGGUGUAACGACUGGAGCACUGUCUCAACAGAGAACCCGGUGAAACUGAAAUAGGAGUGAAGAUGCUCUUUACCCGCAGCUGGACAAAAAGACCCCGUGGAGCUUUACUGUAGCUUGUCAUUGGAUUAGGGCUUUGCUUGUGUAGAAUAGGUAGGAGACGUAGAAGCUGGGCCGCCAGGUUCGGUGGAGUCGCCUGUGAAAUACCACUCUGGUGAAGUUUUGGUUCUAACCUUAGCCGUAAGCCGGCUAGGAGACAGUGGCAGGUGGGCAGUUUGACUGGGGCGGUCGCCUCCUAAAGAGUAACGGAGGCGCGCAAAGGUUCCCUCAGGCUGAAUGGAAACCAGUCGUAGAGUGCAAACGCAAAAGGGAGCUUGACUGCGAGACGGACAGGUCGAGCAGAGACGAAAGUCGGCGUUAGUGAUCCUAUGGCACCGAGUGGAAGGGCCAUGGCUCAUCGGAUAAAAGCUACCCCGGGGAUAACAGGCUAGUCUUCCCCAAGAGUUCACGUCGACGGGAAGGUUCGGCACCUGUGUGCCAGUUGUGUUGCCAAAUGCAUAGCUGGGUAGCUAAGUUCGGGAUGGAUAACCGCUGAAAGCAUCUAAGUGGGAAGCCGGCUCCGAGAUAAGUCCCCUCACAGGGUAACCUGGUAAGUGCGCUGGGAGACGACCAG
rnacentral:rRNA from 1 species